rnacentral:rRNA from 1 species
GAUGAACGCUGGCGGCGUGCCUAAUACAUGCAAGUCGAGCGAACGGACGAGAAGCUUGCUUCUCUGAUGUUAGCGGCGGACGGGUGAGUAACACGUGGAUAACCUACCUAUAAGACUGGGAUAACUUCGGGAAACCGGAGCUAAUACCGGAUAAUAUUUUGAUCUGCAUGGUUCAAAAGUAAAAGACGGUCUUGCUGUCACUUAUAGAUGGAUCCGCGCCGCAUUAGCUAGUUGGUAAGGUAACGGCUUACCAAGGCAACGAUGCAUAGCCGACCUGAGAGGGUGAUCGGCCACACUGGAACUGAGACACGGUCCAGACUCCUACGGGAGGCAGCAGUAGGGAAUCUUCCGCAAUGGGCGAAAGCCUGACGGAGCAACGCCGCGUGAGUGAUGAAGGUCUUCGGAUCGUAAAACUCUGUUAUUAGGGAAGAACAUAUGUGUAAGUAACUGUGCACAUCUUGACGGUACCUAAUCAGAAAGCCACGGCUAACUACGUGCCAGCAGCCGCGGUAAUACGUAGGUGGCAAGCGUUAUCCGGAAUUAUUGGGCGUAAAGCGCGCGUAGGCGGUUUUUUAAGUCUGAUGUGAAAGCCCACGGCUCAACCGUGGAGGGUCAUUGGAAACUGGAAAACUUGAGUGCAGAAGAGGAAAGUGGAAUUCCAUGUGUAGCGGUGAAAUGCGCAGAGAUAUGGAGGAACACCAGUGGCGAAGGCGACUUUCUGGUCUGUAACUGACGCUGAUGUGCGAAAGCGUGGGGAUCAAACAGGAUUAGAUACCCUGGUAGUCCACGCCGUAAACGAUGAGUGCUAAGUGUUAGGGGGUUUCCGCCCCUUAGUGCUGCAGCUAACGCAUUAAGCACUCCGCCUGGGGAGUACGACCGCAAGGUUGAAACUCAAAGGAAUUGACGGGGACCCGCACAAGCGGUGGAGCAUGUGGUUUAAUUCGAAGCAACGCGAAGAACCUUACCAAAUCUUGACAUCCUUUGACAACUCUAGAGAUAGAGCCUUCCCCUUCGGGGGACAAAGUGACAGGUGGUGCAUGGUUGUCGUCAGCUCGUGUCGUGAGAUGUUGGGUUAAGUCCCGCAACGAGCGCAACCCUUAAGCUUAGUUGCCAUCAUUAAGUUGGGCACUCUAAGUUGACUGCCGGUGACAAACCGGAGGAAGGUGGGGAUGACGUCAAAUCAUCAUGCCCCUUAUGAUUUGGGCUACACACGUGCUACAAUGGACAAUACAAAGGGCAGCGAAACCGCGAGGUCAAGCAAAUCCCAUAAAGUUGUUCUCAGUUCGGAUUGUAGUCUGCAACUCGACUACAUGAAGCUGGAAUCGCUAGUAAUCGUAGAUCAGCAUGCUACGGUGAAUACGUUCCCGGGUCU